rnacentral:rRNA from 1 species
UGGGGAAUAUUGCACAAUGGACGGAACUCUGAUGCAGCAACGCCGCGUGCGGGAUGACGGCCUUCGGGUUGUAAACCGCUUUUUCUCAUGACGAAGUUUUUUGACGGUAGUGGGGGAAGAAGCACCGGCUAACUACGUGCCAGCAGCCGCGGUGAUACGUAGGGUGCGAGCGUUGUCCGGAAUUAUUGGGCGUAAAGAGCUUGUAGGCGGUUUGUCGCAUCGAUAGUGCAAACUCAGUGCUUAACGCUGAGCCUGCUGUUGAUACGGGCAGACUAGAGGAAGGUAGGGGAGAAUGGAAUUCCCGGUGGAGCGGUGGAAUGCGCAGAUAUCGGGAGGAACACCGGUGGCGAAGGCGGUUCUCUGGGCCUUUCCUGACGCUGAGAAGCGAAAGCGUGGGGAGCGAACAGG